UACGUAGGGGGCUAGCGUUGUCCGGAUUUAUUGGGCGUAAAGAGCGUGUAGGCGGCCAGGUAGGUCUGCUGUGAAAACUCGAGGCUCAACCUCGAGACGUCGGCGGAAACCAUCUGGCUAGAGUCCGGAAGAGGAGAGUGGAAUUCCUGGUGUAGCGGUGAAAUGCGCAGAUAUCAGGAAGAACACCAGUGGCGAAGGCGGCUCUCUGGGACGGUACUGACGCUGAGACGCGAAAGCGUGGGGAGCAAACAGG
rnacentral:rRNA from 1 species